CCCUUAGAUGUUCUGGGCCGCACGCGCGCUACACUGAUGCAUUCAACAAGCCUAGCCUUGACCGAGAGGUCCGGGUAAUCUUUGAAACUGCAUCGUGAUGGGGCUAGAUUAUUGCAAUUAUUAAUCUUCAACGAGGAAUGCCUAGUAAGCGUGAUUCAUCAAAUCGCGUUGAUUACGUCCCUGCCCUUUGUACACACCGCCCGUCGCUCCUACCGAUUGAAUGUGUUGGUGAGGAGCUCGGAUUGGCAGCAGUUGGUGGUUCGCCACCGGCUAUUGCUGAGAAGUCCUCCAAACCGCCCCAUUGAGAGGAAGGAGAAGUCGUAACA
rnacentral:rRNA from 1 species